rnacentral:rRNA from 1 species
UACGAAGGGGGCUAGCGUUGUUCGGAAUUACUGGGCGUAAAGCGUGCGCAGGCGGUUAUGCAAGACAGAUGUGAAAUCCCCGGGCUCAACCUGGGAACUGCAUUUGUGACUGCAUGGCUAGAGUGCGGCAGAGGGGGAUGGAAUUCCGCGUGUAGCAGUGAAAUGCGUAGAUAUGCGGAGGAACACCGAUGGCGAAGGCAACCCCCUGGGCCUGCACUGACGCUCAUGCACGAAAGCGUGGGGAGCAAACAGG